UGAACUUUUUUUCGGUAAGGCACUAUGAAAAGGCAUGCUGCUCUAUGUUCGCAGCAAACAUAAGCUGUGUCACAGAAAAACAAACGUUUGUGGUAUUUAUUCACAAAAUAUUCAUGUAACGUCAGCCAAAAUUUCCCCAGCCGUUGCACUGCUGCCAGUAAGUCCAAAUAACUGAGCAGGUCUGGAUAGUCCAGCUCUAAAAAUUGCCCAAUGACUAUAUUUGCAUUCUAUUGAGAUCAGUUUUGCCCUUAAUAGGAUGCAAUGAAAAAAUCCUAAAAUUAUUGGUGUCAAUACAACAAUCGUAAGCAACCGCUAUAAAUCUGACAUUGUGUAAUAAAAUUGCAAAAUUUGGCAGGUAUGUAUUGCCACGGGGAUGAGAGUAGCAAAAAGGGAUAGGGAAAUUAUAUUUACAAGAUAUAUACUGAGAGAGACGGCUGCAGGCAAGGUGGCAGAACAACACGAGCACUGCCCAGAUCGUCGUCUUCACCGUCUUUGUGGCUCAUUCUUCGAUGCUCGGCACAGCGCGUAACAGUAUUAUGACAUCAAAGCAGAAAACAUUAAUUUUGUAAUGAAAAACAGUCAUGUAUGCAUUUACGUUUUCACCUUUUGUGCUUGUCCUUUUAUUGGUCUACAUUGUGCAACAAGUAAAAUAAAGAAUUGAAUAAUAACUGAAAACAAAGAAAAUCCUAGCCUGUUAACAUACACCUACUCAGUACACUAUCGACACAUCCUGAUUUACUUGUACGAACACAUAAGCGUGCUCAUCUGUCAAGUCAGGCACAGAAGCGGUUAACUAAAACUUCAGUUCUUGAGCUGCAACAUAUACAACCAUGCUUACACAGGAAACGGCUUUCAGGAGGCCAAUUGUUGGUACACACAUUGCAGAUAGUAUUAUACAUCAAGCAUGGAGCUGACCACAAUGCCCUCAAACUCUUUCCAACAUACAUCUACUGUCUAGCUUCCUGGGCCAACCUUCUGGUUAUGCUUUGAAGCUGCUGUCAGGUUUUGAACCAAGUGCAAUCGCUUUCUUGCUUUGUUAUCUUCUCAUCGUCUUGUCACUUUGCCUUUCAUUUAUGUUUGUCAUAUUGACAGAAAUAUUUGAUGAUUUUUCAUUCGUGUGUUGUACGGACAAAAUCAAUUUUAAAGAAGACAAGAGCGCAAGAGUCGCUAAGUGAUUUUUUAUAACCCAAUUUUUUUAACCCAUUGAUUAUGCGGACCUUCCCGCACUGCUGCGACAUCAGCUGAUAGAACCAAUGUAUAUGGCAACUGAGUCCUUGACGAAUGUUACACGAAUAUUUCAUUAAUAAACUUCAACAUUUCUGCCUGUCUACGGCAGAGACCCAUUGCUGCUGCGACAAUAUUGGGCUGCAUGGCUGUUCACAGCACCAUUACAGAACAAAAUCUGCAAGUCUUACUUAAUAAACAGUGAGCAUAUUGAGUAAUCGAAUAAUGUAUAGUAUUUUCACUAAAUUUAAGUAUUUUUUAGCUUCCACUGUCAUGUUUUCUUAAUU
rnacentral:lncRNA from 1 species